UGGGCUGUAGCUUAAAAAGCAUCUCAGUUACGUUGAGGAGAUCAUUAAUGUUUUAAUGCGGCUCAA
rnacentral:tRNA from 1 species